rnacentral:tRNA from 1 species
UGGAUAGCUCAGUUGGUAGAGCAUGAGAGUCAUGGGUUCAAGCCCCAGUUGAGCAA